rnacentral:RNase_P_RNA from 1 species
CCAGCCGGCCGGACGGCCGCUCCGCCAAGUCUCGAAAGGGCGGCGGGGAGGAAAGUCCGGGCUCCAUGGAAACACGACGCCGGGUAACGCCCGGCGAGGGAAGCUGCGCCGCAAGGCGCAGAUGAACCUCAGGGAAAGCGCCACAGAGAGCAGUCUGCCUCUCCGCUUCGGCCGAGAGGUGAGGGUGAAAGGGUGGGGUAAGAGCCCACCGCGGACGCAGCAAUGCGGACGGCACGGCAAGCCCCGUCGGGAGCAAGACCGAGAAGGGGCGGCAGGGACGAGCGUCUUCGGGCGUUCACGUCCAGGCCGGUUUUCAGGCCAGCCGCUCGGGUGGGUCGCGAGAAGCGCCGGGUAACCGGCGCUCCAGAUGAAUGGUCGUCACGUCGCGGGAAACCGCGGCCGUACAGAACCCGGCUUACAGGCCGGCUGGCAUA